rnacentral:rRNA from 1 species
UACGUAGGGUGCAGGCGUUAAUCGGAAUUACUGGGCGUAAAGCGUGCGCAGGCGGCUCCUUAAGUCAGAUGUGAAAGCCCCGGGCUUAACCUGGGAACUGCGUUUGAAACUGGGGAGCUGGAGUGUAGAAGAGGGGGGUGGAAUUCCAGGUGUAGCAGUGAAAUGCGUAGAUAUCGAGAGGAACACCUGCGGCGAAGGCGGGUUGCUGGGCCGACACUGACGCUGAUGCGCGAAAGCCAGGGGAGCGAACGGG